GAUGAACGCUGGCGGCGUGCCUAAUACAUCCAACUCGAGCGAACAGACGAGGAGCUUGCUCCUCUGACGUUAGCUGCGGACGGGUCAUUAACACGUGGAUAACCUACCUAUAAGACUGGGAUAACUUCGGCAAACCGGAGCUAAUACCUGAUAAUAUAUUGAACCGCAUGGUUCAAUAGUGAAAGACGCUUUUGCUGUCACUUAUAGAUGGAUCCGCGCCGCAUUAGCUAGUUGGUAAGGUAACGGCUUACCAACGCAACGAUGCGUAGCCGACCUGACAUGGUGAUCUGCCACACUGGAAGUGAGACACGGUCCAGACUCCUACGGGAGGCAACAGUCGGGAAUCGUCCGGAAAGGGCGAAAGUCUGACGGAGCACCGCGGCAUAAGUGAUGAAGGUCUUCGGCUCGUAAAACUCUGUUAUUCGGGAAGAACAAAUGUGUAAGUGACUAUGCACAUCUUGACGGUACCUAAUCAGAAGGCGGGGGCUGACUAGGUG
rnacentral:rRNA from 1 species